rnacentral:misc_RNA from 1 species
AAGGAUCAUUAUCGAAUAAACUUGAACAGGCUGUUGCUGGUCCCAGGACAAUGUGCACGCUUGUCAUCUUUAUCAUUUCUCCCAACUGUGCACAUAUUGUAGACCCUGGAUGGAGGUUUUGGAUUCGUUCCGAGUGGGGACUGCUGUGCUUCCGAAGAGAGGUCGGCUUUCCCUUUUCAUCCUCCAGGUCUAUGUCAUUUUCUUUCACAACCUUCCAUGUCUAGAAUGUCCAGUAAAGGUCAUUUUUUGUACCUAUAAAAAAAGUUAUACAACUUUCAGCAACGGAUCUCUUGGCUCUC